AGGAUCUUGUGUUUGUGGCCUCCGCAGCCAGCUUAGGCUGCUCGGUGUCGUGUCGCAGUUAUGUACUGCCAUUUAUUAUGACUCUUAGAAUAUAGUUAUUUCUUACUCUUCCGCUGCCUCCUUUGCUUUUAAAGCCUGUUCUGCCAAGUCUCGCUGGAGAAGGAAACCCCUGAAACUGGUCCUGGUGGUCUCAGACCGCCGCGCGAGCGAAGAGUGGGGAGGACAAAGGUUGGGGAGUUGAGAAGGAUGGAGAUGGGUGCAUCUGGAAGGGAGUCCGUCCUGAGGAGUCCCCCAUCAGCUGUCAGCCAGCCAGCAGCAAAGCAAAUUAAGACUACACAGCUCCGAAGAAGCCAGUUCCCAACCAAGCCAGUGGAGAAAAGUCAGCCCGGUCCCCAGGAGUGCUUGAGGCUCUGUCACUCUUGGACGUCAAAAAGGGUCAUUUGAUGACUGGACGCUUACCUCACCGGUGUGAGGUAAGCUUCAAACGCCGUAUCAUGUUGCUUUAAAACCUGCGGGUAACAGCAUAAGCUGAGUUUUCUAUCUUAGAACUCUUAACCCCAAGAACACUCUUCACAGGCCCUGAUAGGUGGACCCACAAAAAAACCACUCAGGCUAUAUUUGACUCGGAUUUGAAACGCUGCCGAAACGGUAUUAAGUGUCCUCCUCAACUGGAAAAGACAAAUAACAAAUGAUGCCUGAAUGAGAAAAAGACUAGACGUGCACACAGUAAUGUGUGAGCAGGGAAACUUCAGCGAAGGUUUUUAUCAUGCUUUACCCCUUUUACAUGCUUUACCCCAUGUGCAAACAUUUUUCAUGGGUUUUUUUCUAUUUUUUAUUUAUUUUUAUUCUAUUUUUUUAUUUAUACACAAAAAAGUUUCAAUGAUUUUUUAAAGAGUAAUAGUUUUAAUAUGUUACAUUUAAACUUUGACGAUGCAAACAGGUUGUCAAGAGAAGCAACUGAGCAUUGUUUGGUUGGUAAGAAAAUUUAUUAUACUAGAAGCUACCGCAUAAUUCACUGUGCAAUUUGCUUGCCCUAAUUGCCUAAAUAUUUAGUUACAGUUCUGUACACUUGCAAGGAUGAGGGGAAGGGAACUGAAGUUUAGCGUGUCACUGUGGAUCAGGCACUUUCCAAAUGUAGAAGAAAAUGAACAGAAACAUUUCACCUGUUUUGAUGUGGAAAUUUAACCGUUUUGUUUUUCAACCUUUGCUGUUGCAAAGUAUUAAAGUCCUGUGCAGUUUUGCAAAUAUAUCUCACCGCAGAAAGAUCUCCUUUCCUAAGAAGACUGGGAAGAACGGCUUUCCACUUGCCAGUAAUGUGUCCUCUGGUUUCAAUUGAGCCAUCAGUGUCUGUACUCCAGCCUGGGCUACCAAGCGAUACCCCACCUCUGAAAAAAGGGUAGCAAGGGGACAGAGAAGAGCUGUCUGGAUACACGAGAUUCCAAAAACCUAAUCCUGAGAUAAAAUUCCCUAGGGAAUUGCUCUACCGAGAGUAGAGAUUUGACCUGGAAAGAGAAGGGAGAGAAGUAUUUAAUCAUUAACUCUUUUAAUCCUCCCAACAACCUUUUUAGUAUCAUUUUUCAAAUGAGGAAACUGAAAUGUAGAAAGAUUAUGUACACUGUUGAAGGUAACACUAAGCCACUGCCUCCUUCAUAUCAAGAAUAGUUGUUCAUCGAGCAAAUAAAGUGAGGGAAAGACAUUACAAGCAGAGAAAUCAACAUACACACUAUUGUGGCUGGACUUCAGGCUACAGGGUGGUUCCAAAUAUUUAUUGACAAGGCCCUGUGUUACGUGCUGAGGAUACAGAGAUAAAUAAACCAGCUGUCCUAAAGCCGCUGACACUAGUGAGAGAAACCUUAAAAAAAAUACAAUGCAGACUAAAUAAGUGCUGUGAUAGAGGCUAAUGUUCACGGUAUUGGAAAAUGAUAAGAAAACAGCAGCCGGAGAGAAUGUGAGAAAGCCAGUGAAGGUGCUGCUUUAGCAGAGUCCAAAUGUCAAGAGUUAUCCCCUACUAACCCUGAAAUUGUUCUGGGAUAGGGUCUAAAGAAUGAAAUCCAAAGAACAACAGAGAAGAACACCAGAGAAUACUUGGAGAGAGGAAACAAAUUGCUCUAACCAAUGGAGUUUUAAAUGGUCUAGUUUAAAAUAGGUUGAAUUUACCUAGGUGUUAUGAGAACUUAAGAACUUACAUAAGUGGCAUUCAUUGGUAUGGUCAAAGAGGUUAGGUAAGGCUUCUUUGAGGAAGUCACACCAGAAUGGAGAUCCAAAAGAUGAGAAACUGAAAAAGGGAGAGUGGGAAACAGAGGGAAUAUCAUGUGUAAAGCCUUUUUGUCAGAAGGGAACACUGCAAGCCUGAGGGACUGAAAGGAGGCUAUUGUGGCUAGAGCCUAGGUUGCAGGGAGAAAGUGCACCAGUUUGAAGCUGGAGACCAGAUUAAGCAGAGUCUUAUUGGCCAUAUUAAGAACUGUAAUCUUAAGAGAAAAAGGGAGGGGGAGGGCAUUUGACAUGAUUGGAUCUGUGUUUUGAAAAGAUCAUUCCAGCUGCAGUGUGGGAACACAAGCAGAGCCAGCACUGGACUAAUUAAAUCUAUGAGUGGUGUUAGUGUUGGUAGGCAUGCAAGUGGCUUGGGGUAGGAACAAGGAGAUGGACAGAAGUGGGGGAAAUGGAACAAUAGGAAGUAAAGUGGAAGGUCUUGGUGAUGGAUUCAAAUAUCAUGGGGUGGGAUGGGGACUGAGGGAGAGGGAGGAGUCAGAUAACUCAGAAUUUCUAGCAGACCCAGUGGGUGGAUAGUAAUGCCAUCAUUGAGAUAUGGAGGACACUGGAAGAGAGCCAGGUUUGGGGGAAGAGGGUAAUUUCAAUUUGAACACGUUAAGUUUAAGAUAUUUUUGUGACUUCAAGGGAAGAUGUAAACAUUGGAAUCUUUAGGUCUGCAGCACUGGGCUGGAGAAAAAAAUAUAUAUUACCAUUUGCAAUUUUUUGUUUUCUGCAGGGUACUUAUUUUUUCAAAAUACAUAUGUCUUUAUUGUAAAUAAGAUGUUUUGUUUUUAAACAUAUUUAGACGCACUUGAACCCAGGAGCCAGAGGGUUGCAGUGAGCUGAGAUGUCACCAUUGCACUCCAACCUGGGCAACAAGAGCAAAACUCAGUCUCAAAAAAUAAAUAAAAAUAUAUUGAGAACAGAAUUUUAAACUAGAGCAGUUUCCCAGACUUCUCUGAGAGUCACCAGUGUCCCUUAUCAAAAACUCAAAUUCUCAGGCCCAUCCCCUAGAGAUUCUGAUUUCACUUGUCUGGUAUAGGGGGCCUGGAAAUGUGGAUUUUUUGACAAAUGCCACUGGAGAUUCUUCUUAUUGCUGAGUUUCUCUGGGAAGUGGUAUGCCAGUGCCAGAGGCUACCUGCAUAAGAGUCACCACAGUGCUUAUUGAAAUAUAGAUUCUCGGGCCCUGCAGACUAAAUCUAUAGGGAUAGAAGGGUUGUGAGGAAUGGAAAAAGGAACAUGGUACCAUGUCAGGUGGUCCAAGACCUCACCCUUCAUCUUUGACAGAGAUGUUCUGCGCGUCCCACUGGGCAGCCCAGAGGAAAGUGGAUGUCCCUUGCUGGGUGAUGCGUAUUUAGGCAGCAGGCAGCCCUCACAGUCUGCAAUGAUAACAGCUCUUAACCUAGGCCUUCUGCCCUGUCCACUGACAUGGCACUCAGCCCACUUAGAUAGUCUCUUUUUCCACCAUUCUUAUCAAGGCCCAUUGUUCCCUCCUGGCCCCCAAAUCUUUUUCAAUGUUAUUUCCAGCACCCUGUCUUUUUACUCCUGGUUCAGGUGUUUUUCAGCCAAUCUCUGUGGCCAGAGCUGGGAGAGAAAUUGGGUCAAAUGCUAUGUUUCAGUCUUGACAAGGCUUUUUUGUUCUUGAGAACCGACUUUGGAAGUGUUUUUAAAGACUGAGCUGUGUCAGGGAGGAAAAACUUUUCCUCUGCGCUCUCUUGUUUCCUCUUUGGGGGCCUGCAAAUUAAAACAACAAAGAUAGCAAGAGAAAAAAGACAUUUAAUUACAUAUGUACACACACACAGAGAGAGGGAGAAAGAAAGAGAAAUUCACAAAUAACUGACCCUAGGUGGUUAGAAUUUAGAGCUUAUAUACCAUCUUAAUAGGGGACAAAGAAGGGCAGAGAGGCCCUUCUAGGAGAGUAAAUGACUUCUUCAAAGGAAGUGAGGGAGAGACAAAGCAUUUAGAGAAAACAAAACACUUUUUGGAAAGAUAAAUGGACUUUUAGGAGAAUAGAUGGAAGAUACGAUAGUUUUGUAGCAAUGUCUGGGUGUGGUGCAGAUGUCUCCUCAGAGAAGAAAAUAUUAGAAUUGCUCCCCAGGAGGGGAUUUAUUACAAUUGAGGUCUUUUGGGAGGCUUUACUUUUAGGCACAUAAGGGAUUUCAGGAACUCAAGUCCUUCAGCUCAAAAUAACUUUUAUGCCAUGGUAGCUUAUUCUGAACCCCUUCAAUUAUUUGUUCUUGUAGUCUUGCUGUAGCAAUCCCAAGUCUCUUUGAGACACUGUAGAUGCUUUGGAAUAGAGGAAGAAUCAGAACAUAUGAAGAAAAGAAAUGAUUAGAAUGAUUUGUUGGUGAUGGCAAGCAUACAGAAAAGUUUCUAAAACUGAAGUAUACUAUUGAGCACGAUAACACACUCAUGUAACCCCAUAUGGGCCAAAGUAGAACAUUCAACACUCCAAAAGGCCCCAAUGUGCUCCUUCCCUUAUAACCUUCAAGUGCCUAGAGAUGGCCACAUCAUGAUUAUUACCAUAUUUACUUUCUUGUUUUUCUUUCUGGUUUUACUGCCUAAUUACUCAUCCUUAAACAAUAUUAUUUUUGAGCUCUAUGUAAAUGGAAUCACAGAGUUUUUCAUUUACAUGUCUUGAACUUUUUUGAUCAAUCUGUCUUUAAGAUUUACCCAUGUUGAUAUGGCUGUAGUUUAUUCAUUUUCAUUGCUGUAGGUUACUAUAUUGCAUUGGUGUAUCAUAAUUUAUUCUACUGCUGAUGGACAUAUAGGCUAUUUCUAGCUUUAGGCUAUUAUAAGCAAUGCUGCUGUGAAAGUUUGUGUAAACACACACACAUAUGUAUGUUCUCUUUAAGUACAUAUGUGUGUGUGUGUGUGAAUGUAUAUAUAUAUAUAUAUAUAUGUUCUAGAGCAUAUAAACACAGAUUUCUUUGGAGUCUUUACCUUGGUAUGUAAUUCCUGGUUUGUAGAGCAUGUAUAUAUUAAUAUAUUCAGUUUUACAAGAUCGUGCCAAAAUUUUCCAAAAUGAUUGUACCAAUUUAUAUAACCAACAACAAUAUACAAAAGUUUCUGUUGCACUACAUCCUCACCAACACUUGAUAUUGUCAGACAUUUUAAGUUUUAUUACUGUAAUGAAUGUGUAAUGCUGUUUUAUUGUGGCUCUAUUUUGCAUUUCCCUGAUUUUUAAUGAAGAAUAGCCCCUUUUUAUAUGAGUGUUGUCUAAUUGUUUAGGUCUUUCCCCAUUUUUCUGUUGGGUUGUUUGUAUUUUUCUUACUUUUUGUAUUAAUCUGUUAUAUAAUGUUGAAACAAGUUUUAUUGAUUAUAUGUGCUACAAAUGUUUUUCCCACUUUGUGGCUUGUACUUUCACUGUCUUAAUGUCUUUUGAUGAAACCAAGUUGUCAGUGGAGUAGAAUUCAUCACUCUUCCCUUAUGAUUAAUGAUAUCUGUAUCCUAUUUAAGAAAUAUUUUCCAACCCUAAGAUCAUUAAGACUUUUAUAUUGUCUUCUAAAAUUUUAUUGCUUUGCUUUUUAAAUUUUGGUCUAGGCAGACCUGCAAUUAAUGUUCUUACAUAUGGAGAAAGGGAGGCAUAUAUAGAUCCCCAACCCCUUCCAUGUGGAAAAUUAGACUAGCACCAUUUGUUGAAAGAUGGUCCUCUCUGCCCUACCCUGCAGUGCCAUCUUGAUCAUGAACCAAGUAGUCAUAUAAGUAUGGAGUUGUUUCUGACCUUGGUAUUCUUUCCAUUAGUCUAUUAUCUUUUUUUGUAUGUUGCUGGAUUCAAUAUACUCACAUUUUGUUUAAGAUUUCAGGGGAUCUCACAAAUAAGACUGACCUGUAAUUUUCCUUUUGGUAAUGUCUUUCUCUGAAUUUGGUAUCAAAAUAUGCUAGCUACCUUCAUUAAAUGAGUUGGGGAAUACACUUUCUUUUUCCUAUUCAGUUGUCUUUUUUACCCAUUUAUUCUUCUUGUUUUUGGAAUCAAGUUGUCAAGAACCCCCAAAACUCUAUGUGGAUUUUUAUUAAAAUUUCUGUUUGUAUAUUAAUUUCAGGGAAAACAAUAUUCUUCUAUAUGAGCCUUUCCUUUCAGUAAUCUGCAUUUAUUCAAGUGUCCUCAUAUAUGUUUUCCAAAAAUUUUAUCAUUUUCAUUAUAUAGGUCAUGUAUCUUAUAGGAGGCAGAAUUCUAAAGUCCCUCUAAGUUUUCCACCCCUAGUCAGUAAAACACUAAUCUAGGCACUGCUAAGAAUGUACAGAUGUAAUUAAAUUUAUAGAUCUUAAAGUAGGGAAAUUAUUGUAGAUAUCUGGUUGGCCCAGUCUAACCAAUUGAGCCCUCAUAAAAAGAGAAAUUUCUUCAGCUGGAGUCAGUCAGAUGUGGCAAAAAAGAAAAGCUGAGAAAAGAUGAGGCAGAAAGAUCAGAGACAUUCAAAUCAUAAAAAGGCUUGAUGCCACCACGUGGUGGCUCACACCUGUAAUCUCAGCACUUUGGGAGGCUGAGGCGGGCAGAUCGCUUGAGCUCAGGAGUUCGAGACCAGCAACAUGGUGAAACCUUGUCUCCACUGGGUAAUACGGUGAAACCCUGUCUCCACCAAAAAUACAAAAAUCAGCCGGGCGUGGUGGCACAUGCCUGUGGUCCCAGCUACUUUGGAAGCUGAGGCAGUAGGAUCUCUUGAACCCAGGAGGCAGAGGUUGCAGUGAGCUGAGAUCACACCACUGCACUCCAGCCUGGGUGACAGAGCGAGACUCCAUCUCGAAAGAAAGAAAGAAAGAAAGAAAGGCUUGGUGCAUCGUUGCUGACUUUGAAAAAAAAUGGCCAAGGAAUGCAGGUAGCUUCUAGAAGCUGAGAAUGGCUCCUGGCUGACAGAUAGCAAGCAAUGGAGAGCUCAGUCCUACAAGUGCAUGGAACUAAAUUCUGUCAACCACCUAAUGAGCAGGAAACAGAUUCUCCCUUAGAGCCUCCAGAAAGGAACAAAGUAAGUAAUACCUUGAUUGCAGCCUUGUAAAACCUAGCACAGAGAGCUAGCUGAGUCACUCUGUGCCUGGAUUUCUGACCUACAGAACUGUGAGAUAAUAAAUGAGUGUGAUUUUAAGCUGGUAAAUUAUGGUAAUACGUUAUGGGAGGAAAAGAAAACGAAUAUAUAUCUUAUCAGGCAAAAAUAUUUUGGGUAGCUCAUCAGGUAGGCCUUUAAGUAGAAUGAGUCCAUGAAGGUCACACUACUCAAAUCCUGUGGCUGAGAUUGUUUCACCUUUUAGAAUUUUGACUAAAAAUGCAUACGCUGUAUAUAUAAGGCAGAUGGUACUUGGAGCUGCUAUCAGCUACCUCCUGAAAGUGGGCUUGGUAGACAAGAUAGAUAGUACUUGGGAAAAGAAGGAAGUAAAUAGAGGAAAAACACAGCACCAAAAGCCAAGAGCAUGGAGUAAGAGCAGAAUGAGCAGCAUGGCUUCUCAGCCUCUGUUUGCUCACUUCUGAUUUGGACCCAUCCAUCACACUCUCCUGAAAUAAAUGUGUGCUAAAUGUGGUUCACAUGUUCCACUUAAAAAGAGAGAAAAUAAAGUCUAGAUCUCUGUGAAGUAACUCUGCAAAUAUUGAAUGUAUUUCGACACUGACAUUUUUCAAGUCUAACAUUAAAGAUUUCUAUUGUCAUAAAUAAUGCAUAAAUCCAGAGACCGUUUGUGUCUGAAAGGCAUGAUUUAAAAUUAGAACACAAGGUGUCCUGGCAUGUAUACCUGUCUCAAAACUCCAUGUGAGCUCAAUCUAGUUAUCAAAAAAGAGAAGAACAAUUCCUUCUUACAAUUAAAAAAAGUUCUCAUUCUGAUAAUAUAUAUAUAUUAGCUAAGUAGGUUAAAAAUAUACAUUCUUGGCUUUGUGCUCAGUAACUCCAAAAGGUGACAUUCUAAUGCUUCCUAAAAAAUAAAUGAUACACAUGACAAAUCAGGUAGCUGGUGAAACUUGAGUCUUCCCUAGAAUGCCUGUAAAGCUUACACAUAAAAUAAGGAAGAUGUAGCUUUAGCUAAUUCAGACUGAAAUUUAUUGUUAAUAGGAGUCAUAAGAGUGCAUGGUAUUUCACAAAGCAUAAAAUAUAAAAGACAGAUUUCCUGCCCUGAGGAGCUUAGUGAAACAUGUGCAGACAGUAGGUAACAGGAAAAAUAUUAAGUCAUGGUGAUUUACAAAGUGGUCACCAAUGGAAGACCGAGUACAAGAAGAUGCCUUAUAAAAAUGUCUGGUUUUUGGAAAAAGAUCUUGCAAAAGCUUGAAGAAAGAAUGAAAAAGAGAUGAGUGAAAUGAGAGUUCUAAAAAUGAUGAAAGAGGAAAAACUGAAGGGAGAGGUGGAGAAAAAGGCUCAGGCUGCUGUGAGACAUGAACCAAUAUAUGAAUUAUAGAAUAUAGGACUGAUUUGACAAACCUCUGAAAAUAGACAACCGGAAAUUCUAACUAUACAUCUCAUUUCUUAUAAAACUUAAGAGAUAGUUUUCUCAAAUAAUAGGCACUAGACCAAACUUCUUGUUCAAGCCAUAUUAUAUGUCUAUAAGAUAUGUACAUAUAAAUAAAAUUCCAUGUAGAUCUGUAUACUGCUGAAUUGUGAAUAAUUUUAAAAGUUUGAUUUUUUUGAGUUAUAGUGUGAAAGUAACUUCCCCUUAGAAGAUAUAUUCAAAAGCGCUAGUUUUCUUUAUACAUACAUAUGUUACAGAAAAUACCCAAUGCUAUAGCAAUACUGAAAUCAGAACCAAUAUUUCCCUACAAGAUAAAGACCAAAUUCCUGUACAGUAUAUUCAAGGCCUGUAUCAUCUCCAGACUCCACCUUUGUGGACCAGACUUCUCUUUAUUCCUACAAUAGGCUGUAUUCAUAAAAUUGUCUGUCCCAGUAAUUUGCCUAUUUUUAAUUGGAUCAUUUGGCUAGGCGCAGUGGUGCAUGCUUGUACUCCCAACAUUUUGGGAGGCCAAGGUAGGAGGACUGCUUGAGCCCAAGAGGCUGAGGCUGCAGUGAACCAUGAUCACUACUGUAGUCUAGCCUGGGCAACAGAACAAGAUACUGUCUCUAAAAAACAAAGUUAAAAAAAGAAAAUUGGAUCAUUUGUCUUAAUUAAAGGGUUUUGAGCAUUAUAUAUUCUGAAUACUAAUUAAUUUUUAGACAUCUAAUUUUCAAAUAUUUCUCCAGGUCUGUGGUUUGUCUGUUUGUUCAUUUAACAUUGUCUUCAAACAGUAAAAAUUUUUAAUUUUCAUGAGGGAAAUUUAUAAUUUUGGUGUCAUAUCUAAGAAAUAUUUACCUAACCCAAGAUCACAAAUAUUUUAUCCUAUGUUUUAAUCUACAGGUUUUUACCUUAAUAUUUUGCUUUUAGGUCUUAUGGUUAUUUUGAGUUGGUUUUUUAAAGGUAUGAGGUAUGGGUUAGCAUUCAUUUUCUUUGCAUAUGGAUGUCAAACUGUUUCUGCACCAUCUGUUGAAAAGACUGUCCUUUUUCCAUUGAAUUGCCUUUGCAUCUUUGUCAAAAAUCAGUUGGCUGGCCGGGCGUGGUGGCUCACGCCUGUAACCCCAGUACUUUGGGAGGCCGAGGCAGGCAGAUCACGAGGUCAGGAAAUUGAGAUCAUCUUGGCUUACAUAGUGAAACCCCGUCUCUACUAAAAAUACAAAAAAAAAAAAAAAAAUUAGCGGGGUGUGGUGGCAUGCACCUGUAAUCCCAGCUACUAGGGAGGCUGAGGCAGGAGAAUCACUCGAACCUGGGAGGUGGAGGUUGCAGUGAGCCGAGAUCAUCACCCCUGCACUCCAGCCUAGGAGACAAAGCAAGACUCCAUCUCAGGAAAAAAAAAAAAUCAAUUGGCUGUAUAUUUGUGAGUCUAGAAAUAGACUCACUCUUCUUUUCAUUGAUCCAUGUUCUCUAUUUUUGCCUUUUGCUACACCAUGUUGGCUACUAUACCUUCGCAGUAAGUCUUGAAAUGAAGUAGUAUGAGUCCUCCAACUUUGUUCUUGUUAAAAAUUGUUUUGGCUAACCUAGUUCUAUAUGAACUUUUAAAUAAACCUCAAUUUCUAGAAAACUAUCUUGCUGGGAUUUUUAUUGGGGUUGCAUUGAUCUAUAUAUCACUUCGAGAAAAAUUGGCUUAUUAGCAAUAUUGAGUUGUCCUAUCCAUGGAUACAGUAUUUCUAUCCAUUUAUUUAGAUCUUUGAUUUCCUUUAUCAUUAUUUUGUAGUUUCCAGCAUAUAAAUCCUGCAUAGUUUUGCAUUUUAAAUUUAUAGCUAAUUAUUUCAUUUUUGGUACUAUUAUAAAUUAUACUGUGUUUUAAAUUUUGAUUCCCAAAUAUUUACUGGCAACAUUUAGAAAUAAAAAAUAUGUUUAUCUUUGUACCUUUUAUUUAUAAUAUUACUUUUCUAAAAUGAUUAAUUCAUUCUAGGACUCUUUUUAUAGAUUCCUCGGGGUUUUUUAUAUAAAAAUCACAUAGUCUGAACAGAGAGUUUUAUAUUUUCCUUUCCAAGCUGUAUUUUUUUAAAAAUCUUGUUUCUUGCCUUGCUGCACUAUCUAGUACCUCCAGGAUAAUGUUGAAAAGGAGUGGUGAAAGCAGACAUCCUUGCCUUAAACUCAGUCUUAGGGAGAAAACAUUCAAUCUUUCACUUGUAAUACAUUAGAUGUAGAUCUUUUUAUCAGGAUAAGGAGGUUUUCUAGUUUGUGGAAAAUACUUAUCAUGAAUGGAUUUUGAAUCUUGUCAAAUGCUCUCUCUGCAACUACUGAGAUGAUCAUGUGGUUUUUCUUAUUUACUAAGUUGCUAUAAUGAAUGACAUUGACUCUCAAAUCUUGAACAAGCCUUGUGUUCCUGGAAUAAACUCUAUGUGGUCAUGACAUGCUCUUCUUUUUAUAUAUUGUUAGAUUCAAUUUACUAGUAUUUUGUUAAGGAUUUCACAUCCAUGUUUAUGGGAAUAUUGCUCUCUAGUUUCCUUUCUUAUUAUGGAAUGUCUUUGUUUGGUAAAUGAGUUGGGAAGUGUUCUCUCCUCCUAUUUUCUGAGAGAAAGUGUGACGUAUUGGUAUUUGUGUUUGGUAGAACUAACCAGCAAAACCAGUUUCAUUGUUGGGAAGUUUUUAACUGCAAACUCAAAAUCUUCAAUAAAUGUAAAAUAAUUCAGAUGAUUUAGUUCUUGAGUGAGCAUUAACAGUUUAUGUAUUUCAAGAAAUUGAUUUCUUUCAUCAAAGUUGUCAAAUUUACUAGCAUAAAGUUGUUCACAGUAUUCCUUUAUUAGCUUUUGUUUGUUUGUUUUGUUUUUUAUUUUGUUUGUUUGAGACAGGGUCUCACUCUGUUGCCCAGGCUGGAGUGCAGUGGCGCAAUCUCAGCUCACUGCAACCUCCGCCUCCCAGGUUCAAGUGAUCCUCCUGCCUCAUCCUCCCGAGUAGCUGGGACUACAGGUGUGUGCCACCACACCCAGCUAAUUUUUGUAUUUUUAGUAGAGACGGGGUUUCGCCAUGUUGGCCAGGCUGGUCUUGAACUCCUUACCGCAGGUGAUCUGCCCACCUCAGCCUCCCAAAGUGCUGGAUUACAGGCAUGAGCCACUGUACCCAGCCACUUAUUAGCUUUUUAAUGUCUGUCAUGUCAGAAGGAUCAGUGAUGACGUCCCUACUUUCUUUUUUUUUCUUUUUUCUUUUUUUCUUUUUUUUUUUUGAGAAAGAAUCUCCUUCUGUUGCCCAGGCUGGAGAGCAGUGGUGUGAUCUCAGCUCACUGCAGCCUCCGCCUCCUGGGUUCAAAUGAUUCUCCUGCCUCAGCCUCCCGAGCAGCUGGGACUACAGGCACAUGCCACCAUACCCGGCUAAUUUUUGUAUUUUAAUAGAGUCGGGGUUUCACCAUUUUGGCCAGGCUAGUCUCGAGCUCCUGACCUCAAGUGAUCUGCCUGCCUCAGCCUCCCAAAGUGCUAGGAUUACAGGCGUGAGCCACCGCUCCCGGCCCUGCUACUUUCAUGUUUGAUAUUGGUGAUUUAUAGCUUCUCUCUCUCUUUUUCUCAGUCUGGCUAAAGGUUUAUCUUUUUUAAAAAAUAAGCUUUUUGUUUCAUUGAUUUUUCUCUAUUAUUUUUCUACUUGUAAUUUCAUUGACUUUUGCUUUUCAUCAUUUCCUUCUAUCUGUUUGCUUUGGGUUUAACUUGCUCUUCUCUCAUUUCUUAAGUGGAAAUUUUGGUCACUGAUGUAAGACAUACUUAUUUUCUAAUCUUAGCAAUUAAUGCUACAGGUUUCUUACUAAUCACUGUUUUAGCUCCAUCCCCAUAUUUUGAUGUUAUAUUUUUAUUUUCCUUCAAUCAAAAUGUUUUCUAAUUUCCCUUGUGACUUUCUCUUUUACCCAUGUUGUAUUUAGAAAUUGUGUUGUGUGUGUUAUAUCCAAAUAUAUGGUGAUUUUCCAAAUAUCUUUUUGUGGUUUAUUUCUAAUUUAAUUAUUUGAUGAUCUGAGGUCACGGUUUGUAUUAUUAUUUUUUUUAAUUUGUUGUGGCCGGGUGUGGUGGCUCACGCCUGUAAUCCCAGCACUUUGGGAAGCCAGGGCACAGAUCAUCUGAGGUCAGGAGUUCGAGACCAGUCUGGCCAACAUGGCCAAACCCCAUCUCUAUUAAAAAUACAAAAAUUUGCCAGGUGUGGUGGCACACACCUGUAAUCCCAGCUACUCGGGAGGUUGAGGCAGGAAAAUCGCUUGAACCCAGGAGGCAGAGGUUGCAGUGAUCUGAGAUCGCACCAUUGCACUCCAGCCUGGGUGACAGAGCGAGACUCCAACUCAGAAAAAAAAAGAAAUUUGGGCCAAGCGGGGUGGCUAACGCCUGUAAGCCCAGCACUUUGGGAGGCCGAGGCAGGUGGAUUGCUUGAAUCAGGAGUUUGAGACCAGCCUGGCCAACAUGGUGAAACCCUGUCUCUACUAAAAUACAAAAAUUAGCUGGGCGUGGUGGUGGGCGCCUGUGAUCCCAGCUACUAGGGAGGCUGAGGCAGGAGAAUCACUUCUACCCAGGAGGCAGAGGUUGCAGUGAGCCAAGAUCGUGCCACUGCACUCCAGUCUGGGCAACAGGGUGAGGCUCUGUGUAAAAAAAAAAAAAAAAAAAAACAUUGUUAUAGUUUGUUUUAUUGGCCAGAAUAUUGUCUUUCUAGAUAAAUGUUCCAUAUACAACAUUUGAAAAGAAUGUGCAUACUAAUAUUGUUGGGUGGAGUACUCUAUAAAUGUCAAUUAAAUAUAGUUGGUUUCAAAAGUAUUGUUCCAGUCUUUCAUAUCCUUAUAACAUUCUGUCAACUUCUAUCAAUUACUAGGAGGCGGAUGUUAAAGUCUUUAUAUGUAAUUGUGGAUUUAUUGCUACCAUGUUUUGCUUUAUGUAUUUUGAAGCUCUGUUGUUAGGUAUAAACACAUUUAAGAUUGUUAUAUCUUCUUGGUGAAUUCACUGUUUAUCAUCAUGUGAUGUUUCUUUAUAUUCCUGAUAGUAUUCUUUAUUCUAAAGACUAUUUUGCCUAACAUUAAGAUAGCUACUCCAGCAUUGUUUUGAUUAGUGAUUGUGUGGUAUACCUUUAUUCAUACUUUUACUUUAAGCCUAUCCUAUAGCUUUAUACUUGAAGUGGGUUUCUUGUAAACAAUAUCUAGUCAGGCCUUUUUUAUACAAUCUUACAAUAUCUACUUUUUUACAGUUUUUUGUUUGUUUGUUUUUGGUUUUGUUUUUUGAGAUGGAGUCUCGCUCUGUCGCCCAGGCUGGAGUGCAGUGGCACGAUCUUGGCUCACUGCAAGCUCCGCCUCCCGGGUUCAAACUAUUCUCCUUCCUCAGCCUCCUGAGUAGCUGGUAUUACAGGUGGGUGCCACCACACCCGGAUAAUUUUUAUAUUUUUAGUAGAGACGGGGUUUCACUGUGUUAGCCAGGAUGGUUUCGAACUCCUGACCUCAUGAUCCGCCCGCCUUGGCCUCCCAAAGUGCUGGGAUUACAGGCGUAAGCCACCACGCCUGGCCCUUUUUUACAGUUUUAUUGAGAUAUAAUUUAUAUAUGCCUUUUGAUAUUGUCCCACAGGUCCCUGAGGCUUUGCUUAUUGAUUUUUCAAUCUAUAAUGUGUUUCUCAGAUUAGAUGCUAUCUAUUAUCUAUCUUCAAGUUCAUCAACUCUUCCUCUGUCAUCUGCAAUUUGCUAUUGAGCCCAUCCAGUGAAUUUUUGAGUAUGCUAUUUUUUAGGUCUAAAAUUUUCAUUUAGGUUUUUUAAAAAUAAUUUCUAACUAGGUGGUGGCCACUGCACAAACUAGAUUCUGCUCACUCUGGGCCUCACUCCACUUCCUCUGUGACAGAUCAUAUGACACAUGAUAUGUCAAGACAUAUCAUGUCUGACAAACCUGAUAUGGCUGAGAUCAAGAAAUUUGAUGUCAAAAAUAGAAGAAGACAGAAUUGCAAGAGAAAAAUCCACUGCCUUCCGAAGAAACAAUAGAACAGGAGAAGCAGGCAGACAAAUCUUACGGAGGCAUGCGCCGCCAAUAUGCACUGUACAUUCAACGAGAAUUGCCUUCUUAUUUUACUUAUUUUAGCUGUUAAUUUUGUAAGAUGCAAAGAGGUUGGAUCAACUUUUAAAGGACUUUGCUGCCCUUUUCACAUCAAACAAUAGAAAACUGCUGACGAUGAAGGCCACACCUACCUCUCCCAUCUGCUUGUCUGGCUGUCAAGGAAGGAAAAUAACUUGCAUGUUGGUGAAGGAAGAAGAAGAGUAGGAAGACAGGUAAAUCUAGAGUAAAACCAAGCUGCCCCAAGGUGUCCUGCAGGUUCUCAAAUGCAGUUUAAAUGAAGUUUAAUUAGAGUGCCA
rnacentral:lncRNA from 1 species